GGAGAGGUCUACUGCAAGUAUUGAGGUCAUGGGUCUUCAAGACCUCCUUAGCUGCAUCUGCAGAGGAGACAAUAAGUGUGGGUACACGACCAAGUUGGAUAAGCAUCACAGGACCGUAUUUCUUGGAGAACUGCCAUAGAGAUUGAUGACGCAAUUUCCCAAGUUGGUGCAAAUUGCCUAUGAUUGGAAUGCCUGGAGGCCCUGGAGGUUGGUGCUUGCUCUGUGAUCUCAUAGCUUGAAGUCUCUUUUUCAAGAUAUAGAAUAAUAAAGGAAUGACAAGAAGAAGAGGAGGCAGCCAUGUAGGAGAAGCCAUUUGCCUUUUUUUCAUCUUUCUAAUGUUUCAUGGGCUCUCUCUAUAUAUAGAGAAAUUCUGAGACAAACAGAGUACCUUAUCCGAGGGGGUAAAAAAAAU
rnacentral:misc_RNA from 1 species